CGGUGAGAUGAUGCUACU
rnacentral:siRNA from 1 species